AGAGUUUGAUCCUGGCUCAGGAUGAACGCUGGCGGCGUGCUUAACACAUGCAAGUCGAACGCUGAAGCUCCCAGCUUGCUGGGGGUGGAUGAGUGGCGAACGGGUGAGUAUCACGUGAGUAACCUGCCCUGAACUCUGGGAUAAGCCCGGGAAACUGGGUCUAAUACUGGAUAGGACUGAUCAUCGCAUGGUGGUUGGUUGAAAGUUUUUGACGGUUUUGGAUGGACUCGCGGCCUAUCAGUUUGUUGGUGGGGUAAUGGCCUACCAAGGCUUUGACGGGUAGCCGGCCUGAGAGGGUGACCGGCCACACUGGGACUGAGACACGGCCCAGACUCCUACGGGAGGCAGCAGUGGGGGAUAUUGCACAAUGGGCGCAAGCCUGAUGCAGCGACGCCGCGUGAGGGAUGACGGCCUUCGGGUUGUAAACCUCUUUCAGUUGGGAAGAAGCCCUUUGGGGUGACGGUACCUUCAGAAGAAGCACCGGCUAACUACGUGCCAGCAGCCGCGGUAAUACGUAGGGUGCGAGCGUUAUCCGGAAUUAUUGGGCGUAAAGAGCUCGUAGGCGGUUUGUCACGUCUGCUGUGAAAGCUCGGGGCUUAACCUCGAGUUUGCAGUGGGUACGGGCAGGCUGGAGUGCAGUAGGGGAGACUGGAAUUCCUGGUGUAGCGGUGAAAUGCGCAGAUAUCAGGAGGAACACCGAUGGCG
rnacentral:rRNA from 1 species